UCUCUCUCUCCCUCUCACACUCUCUCCCUCUCACACUCUCUCUUUCUCCAACCAUUCUAUCCCACCACCAGUUUAUUUUGUUCAUCCUACAUGUACUUGCUCGCUCUCUCUCUCUCUCUCUCUCUCUCUUUCAUUCUGUGUUUAUGUUUCACUUGCUAUAUAGAAAACAGUACACCGUUAAUGAGAAAAAACUCUUUACAAAAUAGCUGCGGAACAAUUAAUUGACAAUGAAUCAUGGCACUGUUUAUUCAGAUAUCACAUAGAAUGCAUUUAGUAAUAGUAAUGAAGUCUGAGAUAAACAAAGUACAUGUACAGUUUAAUACCCAGGGUGAGUACACACACAGGUACACAUGAAUUGUAAUACAUCUAUGGUAUACAUGUAAGCUAAAGGAGAGAUAGAAAAGGAUAAAUUCUCUCCUCUAAUAAACUAAGAUUAUGAUUUGAAAUCGAUUGAAUUCAUUUACAAAGUUCUGUACGUCUGCAGCCAAGCUAUGUCAAUUUAAUUUGUGCACAGCAAAUUGAAGUAAUACAGAUUUAGCAAAAUAUUUUUUUCAUUAUGAAAACUGCAGCUUUUUAACUUUGUAAUUUGAACCUGCAGGGUAAAUAAACAACUUUAACUCUGUGUACUCAAUGUGAAUGACUAGUGCACAGCACAAAAUUACAAACUAUUUUUGAGUAUAAAAACAUUGUCAUUUUUGUUAAAAUCUUGUAAAACAUUGCAUACUAUUUGCAGUGUCAAAAAUACUUUCCUGAUUGCAAGUUUGUUUAGGAUAUGGUGGUGUAUAAGUGCAAUUUUCCCACUGUGAAAUGUAAGUAUUUUACUGGGUUUUUUUUUAAGAGCUCCUCUUCAAUUUACCAGAGCAAAUUUAGAGCUUCCGAGAGCUAAAUCAAUCACCAUUCCUGUGUAAUUUUUUUCUUUCUUCUUCUUCGCUAUAAGUACAGGCCACCGUCGGGUGUAUUCUCGUACUGAUUGUAGGUGCUGUGCAGGUGUAUAUAUACAUGUAGUGUCUCAAUAAAAGGUCUACAAUGAGCUAUGUGCAGUUAAAAGGACAUCUGUAGCUUAACGCAGCUGGAUCUUGAGUACCUCUCUCUUUUUGCUGGUUCUAUGUCACACAGUGCUUGUAGAUUUUAGGCCUUAGAUUAAAACAACACAAAAACAAAAUUAAAGGGAAGCAUCAUUACUAUAAUGAAGAGAAACAUGAAA